rnacentral:rRNA from 1 species
AGUCGAACGGUAACAGGAAGCAGCUUGCUGUUUCGCUGACGAGUGGCGGACGGGUGAGUAAUGUCUGGGAAACUGCCUGAUGGAGGGGGAUAACUACUGGAAACGGUAGCUAAUACCGCAUAACGUCGCAAGACCAAAGAGGGGGACCUUCGGGCCUCUUGCCAUCGGAUGUGCCCAGAUGGGAUUAGCUAGUAGGUGGGGUAACGGCUCACCUAGGCGACGAUCCCUAGCUGGUCUGAGAGGAUGACCAGCCACACUGGAACUGAGACACGGUCCAGACUCCUACGGGAGGCAGCAGUGGGGAAUAUUGCACAAUGGGCGCAAGCCUGAUGCAGCCAUGCCGCGUGUAUGAAGAAGGCCUUCGGGUUGUAAAGUACUUUCAGCGGGGAGGAAGGGAGUAAAGUUAAUACCUUUGCUCAUUGACGUUACCCGCAGAAGAAGCACCGGCUAACUCCGUGCCAGCAGCCGCGGUAAUACGGAGGGUGCAAGCGUUAAUCGGAAUUACUGGGCGUAAAGCGCACGCAGGCGGUUUGUUAAGUCAGAUGUGAAAUCCCCGGGCUCAACCUGGGAACUGCAUCUGAUACUGGCAAGCUUGAGUCUCGUAGAGGGGGGUAGAAUUCCAGGUGUAGCGGUGAAAUGCGUAGAGAUCUGGAGGAAUACCGGUGGCGAAGGCGGCCCCCUGGACGAAGACUGACGCUCAGGUGCGAAAGCGUGGGGAGCAAACAGGAUU